UAUAGAGACGUUAUUUCCGGUUCCAAUAAAUUGGUUUUUGUGCACGUCAGUAAGUCAUUGACAGACUUUUUCCUCCCAGUUUUUGAAGCAUAUUUCCUACAUUACUACUUUUAUUCUUUUUUUUUUGCUUCAGUCAUUCAAUUUAGAUUUGUAUUUCAAUUUUUUUCUGCCCUUUUUAAUUAUUUCAUUUAUAAAUUCAUACAAAAAAAAAACAAACAAAUAAAGUGUGCAAUAAAGUACAAUCAAAACUUUAUAAUAUAAUCACAUUGCACUUGAAUAAAGUUAAACGUGUAAUCUGCUGAUUGUCCUGCAGGUGACCUCAUAAAUCUGUCUUCUUACGAUGCACUUAGGACUUUACGAUUACUCCAGAGCUCUCGAUGAUUUUCAAGUGCUACUUAAGUUACAAUGCUUUUGGGAAACAGACCGUAAUAUUAAGAUCAGUCAUACGAUCGUUUUUACAAACUUCUUAGGCUUACAAAGCCCUCUGGAAAACGCAGCCCAGAAUGUGUAGUUUUACUAGUUUAAUAUCUAAUUAAAAAAAAAAAAAAAAAACUUACAUUUUAGGCCCUAAUUGUUAAAAAUGUGUAAGUGUUCAAUAAUUAGGGCCCGAGCACUGCAGUGCGAGGACCCUCUUGAAAUUGCUCCGUUUAUUAGGGCCCGAGCACCGAUGGUGUGAGGACCCUAUUGUAUCUGCUUUGUUUAUUAUUAUUAUUAUUAGGGCCCGAGCACCGAUGGUGUGAGGACCCUCUUGUAUCUGCUUUGUUUAUUCUUCUUCUUCUUCUUCUUCUUCUUCUUCUUCUUCUCCAAAAUGAAUCGCAUUUUUGAGGGCCUAAACAUGCUCGAAAAGUCCUGAAACUUUGCACACACGUCAGACCUGGUGAAAAUUUACGUCUGAUAUAGGUUUCAGAAGAGGGUGUGGCAAAAUGGCUCGACAGCGCCACCUAUCGUAAAAAAAUCAACAGCCCUCGAGCUGUGUUUCACGUACAUGCACGAAAAUUGGCACACAUAUGUAAAGCAUCAGUACCUACAAAAAAGACUCUUGGAGC
ensembl:lncRNA